GGGAGCGCAAUGGUUUCGACGGAAUUCAAAGAUUUAAGCAAGCGAGCAGCGAUGCCGGACCGCUUUAAAAGCGGCAAAAAAAUUUAAAUGCAGAAGUAUUAUAUGGUGAUUGCCCGCCUAAAAAAGGCGAAGUAAUUAAGGUAUCUUUUGGUAAAAAGGAAAUCUUGGCAGUCGCUUGAUGAAGAAAGUUCGGUGUUUACUGAGCGCAUCUUGUUGAGACUACCGCGUUCUUAACCAGGUGUUUAUUUAGCGGUGAAUGAUUUAGGGGGGAUCCUUGACUUCUAAAUGGCCUAAAUUAGGGAUUACUUUCAGCAGUUUGCUUUCGGAACUUGCUUUGUGAGGAAAUCUGAAUCGAAAGCUACGCUCGUAGAAAACUUAAAUUGAUGUUUUUCGGACAGGGGUUCGACUCCCCUCGCUUCCACCA
rnacentral:sRNA from 1 species